GAAAUGCGAUAAGUAAUGUGAAUUGCAGAAUUCAGUGAAUCAUCGAAUCUUUGAACGCACAUUGCGCCCGGCAGUACUCUGCCGGGCAUGCCUGUUCGAGCGUCAUUUCAACCCUCAAGCCCCGCUUGGUGUUGGGGUCCUACGGCUACCGUAGGCCCUGGAAGGAAGUGGCGGGCUCGCUACAACUCCGAGCGCAGUAAUUCAUUUUCUCGCUAGGGACGUUGCGGCGCGCACCUGCCGUUAAAACCCCCAUUUUUUAACCAAGGUUGACCUCGGAUCAGGUAGGAAUACCCGCUGAACUUAA
rnacentral:misc_RNA from 1 species